CUAACUCUGCCUGUCAAAAAAAAAAAUAUUAGAAUGAUACAGAUACCAUCAGCAUGGCCCCUGCACAAUGAUGUCAUGCAAAUUUGUGAAGCAUUUUGUUAUUUU